ACGGAUACCUUUUCCAACGUUUUAACGUAUGCUCAAAUUUCUUGCAGACAAGAUGAGAACCUCGUAACCGAAGGAAGUUUAUCUUUUGGGUGUCUAGUAUUGAACUUUAUCCUUUGGGUGUCUUAGUAUCGUAAUUACCGGACAGGUAUGGACUCCAUGUUGGGAUAACGGUCAGGUGAUGGAGAACCACAAAACUCUAUCCAGUAAGCCCAAUUUCCACCCCUUUUGUAGUUGUGUUAUUUCUUCUCGCUCUCUAUCCUCUCAUCACUCUCUCUAUCUACCCGGAGCUUGCUCGCUCUGCGAAUGGUCGGUCGUCUGGAGGUAUCACAUCCGCAGCCAUCUACCCGUCCAUGUCCAGGGAUCAGUCAUCAAUGAAUGGUUGGUCAAUGUUUUGGGGGAAAAAAAGGAGUAAUGGCGGAUUGGGCUUUGGGGACCAAAAAACCUAAAAUUUGGAUCCUAAUGCCUCCUUUAAAUAAAAUAUUUCAAUGAAAUUCCAUGAGGCUUUGCUAGUGGUUUCAAUUA